AUAUACAGCCAUACCAUCCUGAACGUGCCCGAUCUCAUCUCAUCUCAGAAGCUAAGCAGGGUCAGGCCUGGUUAGUACUUGGAUGGGAGACUAUCUAGGAAUACUGGGUGCUGUAGGCU
rnacentral:rRNA from 1 species